UUACAGCUCAUGCCCAUAAGAGGUUCUCACUGCCAAACUGAAUAACUUCUCUACUUCUGUACCUCAGAUUCUCUUUCUCGCCGGUAAACAAAAACUGAACCAAUCACAACUCUUCCAAUCCUUCUGUUUCUUCGAGUUCUUUUACUCAGACCUUUCUUUCUUUCCUUCUGAACAGGUUGAGACAUUGGUACUUGAUGAAUCCAUCCUAAAGGCAAUAGUGCUGCAAGGAACUGUAUCAUUAUUCCUACAGGCAAGCGUGAGUAAUCACCAGAUUGUAUUCCAAGCAAAGCAGCCAACCCAACUCCCCAAAAUCCAC
rnacentral:lncRNA from 1 species